rnacentral:rRNA from 1 species
AACGAACGCUGGCGGCAGGCUUAACACAUGCAAGUCGAGCGCCCCGCAAGGGGAGCGGCAGACGGGUGAGUAACACGUGGGAAUCUACCCAUCCCUACGGAACAACUCCGGGAAACUGGAACUAAUACCGUAUACGCCCUUCGGGGGAAAGAUUUAUCGGGGAUGGAUGAGCCCGCGUUGGAUUAGCUAGUUGGUGGGGUAAAGGCCUACCAAGGCGACGAUCCAUAGCUGGUCUGAGAGGAUGAUCAGUCACAUUGGGACUGAGACACGGCCCAAACUCCUACGGGAGGCAGCAGUGGGGAAUAUUGGACAAUGGGCGCAAGCCUGAUCCAGCCAUGCCGCGUGAGUGAUGAAGGCCUUAGGGUUGUAAAGCUCUUUCACCGAUGAAGAUAAUGACGGUAGUCGGAGAAGAAGCCCCGGCUAACUUCGUGCCAGCCGCCGCAGUAA